ACAGACCCUGGCGCUGCCACCUCCGGCACGUUUCUCGUCAUCCCUGUUCUUACAGAUGUUUUUUUCUUCUUUCGGAGGCGGCACAAACAACUACUUGAAAACUACCAGCGACUUUGAUCAAGAAGAGGGGCUGGCGUGGCUGACCGGGCAGUCAUGGCAAUGCAGGCUUCUCCCGGGUUUUCCUUCCAGCGGCACGAGCCCAUGAUGGGGAAGGCAGACCCACAGCCCGGGAGGUGCGGGGCGCCCGCCGGCAUAACCUUCGCGGCAACUCAGGCACCGCGCUGAAAAUCUGUGUGUGCUGUUUUAGGAGUAUCCCCCUCACACCGUUUCCCCAGAAUAUCAAUUGUUAACGCUUGUGUGAAAGGAGAACAAGGCUGGAGGCGGGGGAGCCUGCCUAGUAUUACUGCGGUACAUGCCCGCUGUCCGGCGUGCCCGGCGUUGGGCAGCCUGGCCUCUCGGAUGUUUCAGGAGUUUCUCUCCUCUCCAGCUAGCCAUUUGCGUUACAUUGCUUUCCAGGCCAUGGUGGGAGGAUGGCAGAGAUGGCAGACGGGUCAGGCUACCAGCCAACACAGGGACCAUGAGACAGGAGCAAGCAGACUGAGUGACGUGCCGGUGAGAGAUUUGGCACAGCAAAAGAGUGAAAGCCUAUUAAUUACCGAACUCACAGCACCAGCAGAAGCGACUGCCCAUUCUCCUGUUCUUCAGUCCCAUUUGGCUGAUGGAAAAUCUGGGUAAAAUGUGUUGUUUUCCUUAACAUUUUGUUCUAUAUAUUUUGGACAGUUGCCCUACAAUUUCCUCCCUUUUCUACUAUUCCUCCUAUGUGCACUUUUUUCAGUAUUUGAAACUCAAGCCCUAGUCUGCAAUUGAACUGACAUUAAUGAAAGAAUAUUUACCUGGACAGACCCAGUGGGCCAAAGCUCAUGUUCUUGGGCUCAGCUGUGGUGAGAACCUUCCUAGGCCAGAUGCUAAUGUAAGAUGUUUUCCAAAACUGAAGAGUGGUGUGACUCAAACUCAUCUAAACAGUGAGAACAUACUUCUCUGAACAGUGUCAGAGAGGGGAAAAUAUG
rnacentral:lncRNA from 1 species